rnacentral:rRNA from 1 species
UACAGAGGUCCCGAGCGUUGUUCGGAUUCAUUGGGCGUAAAGGGUGCGUAGGCGGCGGGGCAAGUCUGAUGUGAAAUCCCGGGGCUCAACCCCGGAACUGCAUUGGAUACUGCCUUGCUAGAGUACUGGAGAGGGAACUGGAAUUUACGGUGUAGCAGUGAAAUGCGUAGAUAUCAGGAGGAACACCUGUGGUGUAGACGGCUUUCUGGACCGUAGCUGACGCUGAGACACGAAAGCGUGGGUAGCAAACAGG